rnacentral:rRNA from 1 species
UGGUGGAGUGAUUUGUCUGGUUAAUUCCGAUAACGAACGAGACCUUAACCUGCUAACUAGUCCAGAUCUGAACAAGGUUUGUGACUUCUUAGAGGGACUAUCUGUGUAAACAGAUGGAAGUUUGAGGCAAUAACA